UAAGAAAAUGGCUGCAGCCCCUUGCGCUCGCGGAGUCGCCUCUGCAAGUUCGGGCUUUGCAGGCAGCAGCCCUUGCUCUCACCCCGGGCUUGUGCGCACACCUGGGGACACGUGGGAAGGUCGCUCUUGCGGCCACGGAGCGGCCUGGGCUCAGGGAACUAGCCCCGCGCCGGGAAGAAAGCUGCCUGCGGGGAGUGCAGCCUCGUGGGGACCCGGGACCCGAGCCGCCGCGGCUCACUAAGAGGCGGUGGGGCCCUGCGGUGCGUGUGGGACGCCAGGCGGGCAGACUCUGAGCACGGCCAGGAGGCAAGAAGAGAUUGAAGGGAAAUCUCAAGGGGCUCCAGAGAAUGCUACGAUGGUGCAAAGUGACAGAAGUCCUGGGAAAAGCAGGUAGAAUGGAAUUGCCAUGACAUUGAGCCUCAUCUAGCUGCCAGUUCCAGAUAUUGGCAGACCGCUGGCCUCCUGAGGAGCACAGGAAGGGGCCUGGCAGACUGGUGAUCCUGGUUGGAGAUGAAGAGGGGCUGAUUAA